CUGACUCAGCAAUUCCAGUGACCGCCGUCACUGGUGGUUCCCGACUGCCCUGAAGGUGCGGUCGCCGAGCGUUACGGGUCGGCAACGCUGGAGCCGCCGGCGUCCGGGGCCCUCUCUAAACAGGCUGCGUUCCUGCCCACGCCGUGACUCAGCCGCUUCCGCUCCAAGGGCCGCGGAGCUCCGGCCGCCGCCCGCGAGGCCCUGCCGCCUUCCCACCGGCCCAGGCCGGCCGCCCCGCGCCUGCUUCCGCGCUUGUAUGUAGGUCGUCCCCUCCAUGGCUACUACAACCAUCUUGGAGUCAGCUGUGAACAUCUCUCUGCAGGGUCACCUAAGCAGCUUCUAACUGGUUUUGCCGCAUUCCCAUCCAACCCUCCCACAAUGACCAGGUGUUGGCGCUCUGUCAUCUGCUGGGGAUAAAAUGAUGAAGAAAAAGACAAGGCUCAGCUAGGCACGGUGGCGUGCCCAGAAGUUCAAAUCCAGUGUGGACAACAGAGGAGGACCCCAUCUCUUUGACAACAACAGUAAAGACAAGGCCCAUGCCUUAAAGUUUACAUUUUAGAGGUGGAGGCAGAAAAUAAACUAGUAAACAAAUAAUUCA